rnacentral:tRNA from 1 species
GCCGGGAUGGCGGAACUGGCAGACGCAGCGGACUCAAAAUCCGCCGGCCUUCGGGCCAUGGGGGUUCAAGUCCCUUUCCCGGCACCA